rnacentral:rRNA from 1 species
UCCCUACGGGGUGCAGCAGGCGCGAAAACUUUACAAUGCGGGAAACCGUGAUAAGGGGACACCGAGUGCUAGCAUCAUAUGCUGGCUGUCCAGGUGUGUAAAAUACACCUGUUAGCAAGGGCCGGGCAAGACCGGUGCCAGCCGCCGCGGUAACACCGGCGGCCCGAGUGGUGAUCGUGAUUAUUGGGUCUAAAGGGUCCGUAGCCGGUUUGGUCAGUCCUCCGGGAAAUCUGAUAGCUUAACUAUUAGGCUUUCGGGGGAUACUGCCAGACUUGGAACCGGGAGAGGUAAGAGGUACUACAGGGGUAGGAGUGAAAUCUUGUAAUCCCUGUGGGACCACCUGUGGCGAAGGCGUCUUACCAGAACGGGUUCGACGGUGAGGGACGAAAGCUGGGGGCACGAACCGGAUUAGAUACCCGGGUAGUCCCAGCUGUAAACUAUGCGCGUUAGGUGUAUCAGUGGCCACGAGCUACUGAGGUGCCGAAGGGAAACCGUGAAACGUGCCGCCUGGGAA